rnacentral:tRNA from 6 species
GCCAGCGUAGCUCAGGGGUAGAGCAACUGAUUCGUAAUCAGUAGGUCGGCGGUUCAAUUCCGCCCGCUGGCUCCA